CGAGUGCCCCGAGCGUUAUCCGGAAUCAUUGGGCGUAAAGGGUGUGUAGGUGGCAGUGUUAGUCAGUUGUUAAAACCUGGGGCUUAACCCCAGAUGUGCGACUGAAACGGCACAGCUAGAGGAUGCGAGGGAUGUAUGGAACUCAUGGAGUAGGGGUGAAAUCCGUUGAUAUCAUGGGGAACACCAAAAGCGAAGGCAGUACAUUGGCGCAUUCCUGACACUGAAACACGAAAGCGUGGGUAGCGAAUGGGAUUAGAUACCCCAGUAGUCCACGCCCUAAACGAUGAUAACUAGCUUUUCGGAGUAUCGACCCUCUGAGAGGCGAAGCAAACGCGUUAAGUUAUCCGCCUGGGUAGUACGACCGCAAGGUUA
rnacentral:rRNA from 1 species